rnacentral:rRNA from 1 species
GACGAACGCUGGCGGCGUGCCUAAUACAUGCAAGUCGAACGCAGUGGGGACGGGUGAGUAACACGUGGGUAAACUCCCAUCAGAGGGGAUCACACUUGGAAACAGGUGCUAAACCGAUCCUGAUGGAUGGACCCGCGGGGCAUUAGCUAGUUGGUGAGGUAACGGCUCACCAAGGCCACGUUGCAUAGCCGACCUUAGAGGGUGAGCGGCCACACUGGGACUGAGACACGGCCCAGACUCCUACGGGAGGCAGCAGUAGGGAAUCUUCGGCAAUGGACGCAAGCCUGAUGCAGCCAUGCCGCGUGUAUGAAGAAGGCCCUAGGGUUGUAAAGUACUUUCAGUCGGGAGGCGUUACCGACAGAAGAAGCACCGGCUAACUCCGUGCCAGCAGCCGCGGUAAUUC